CCAAUUCAAAAAUCAAAAGAAAAGAGAGAGUUAAAAUUAUAUCUCAAAAUUUCAAUAUUUUUAAGAAUCCCAGUAGAAUAAUCGAACUGAAAAAAAUGAUAACACCCACCGGGCUAAUAUUUUAUAUUUCUACUCUUUUUGUUUUUGAGCUUCCGAAAUUACCCUACACAGUAUACCUAAAUCAUAUUUUCUCCCUAUUCUCUCUCCAGUCUCUUCCCCAAUUUUCACAAACAAUCUUGGCACUCGGUUUCUCUCUCCAAAUUCCAACUCCAAGAGCGUUCAUCCGUUGCUCCUCCGCCGGCGACAAGCGCAGACAAUCUCCAGACUCCUUAAAGGUACAUAUUCUCUCUCUCUCUAUAUAUAUAUAUAUAAUUUUGUUUAUAUAUAGUUGCAGCAAUGACAUGAGGUCAAUUACAAAAAUGAAUAACAUUUGUUGUUUAAAUCUCGAUUUCCAUAAGGCGUAAAACCCCUACAUCUUGAAAUAUACUAGCUGUGAGGCUUUAAUAUGUCGAUAUAUGUCAGCUUGAGAGGUUUAACAUACUCUUUCGAUCAUUGUUGGGCAAGUUUUAGUCAGAAAGCGUUGAGAUUAUUCUUUAAUAUUUAUUUUAUUGGUGUGAUGCUGGUUGAGCCAUGAUGCUCUACAAGAAAUUUGAAAAUGGUCAAAAAAUAAGCCUCUAGGAUAUUGGGUUCCUUAUGAAGUAUGAACUUCAAAAGUCAGACCUAAAAAAAUUAAAUUAGUGUUUAAUCUAUGAGGACAUAAAUGUAUGUGUUUUUAUUUAAUUAAUUAACACUCCACUGUUGUAGCGAAUCGCAUUUUUUCUGUGUAAAUAAAAUAAGAUUUUACUGGAAUAAUUUAUUUUUUUUACUCCGGUAUGUGUUAUUAUAUUAUUAUGUGCAAUGUAAUAUGUGAUGUGAUGAUAUGUCAAGUAUGAUAAUUAAUAUUUAUUAUAUUUAAUAAAUACCCUCUACUUUGAUGAAAAUGAUUUAUGAAUAUUUUACCCAAAUUUUUUGUUAUGCAUUUUAGUGUAUGUAAUAUAUGUUGUAAGUGGUGCACUAAGUGCAGCAGGAGAGGUAAUUGUUAUGCUCGCCAAACACAGCCUAAGAGUUAAAGUUUACAGUAAAUGAAACUCAGCUUAAUGUGAUAUACGUGGCUGUUAAAACAGGAAAUAAUCUAUUAGUUUAGCAUGUGCUGGCAACUAUUCAAUAACUUAGCUUAAACAACUCAGCCUGCUUAUAACCUAUUACGUGAUUUGCAUAUCUGCUGUCUUUAUAGAGCAGAGCUUCAACUUUUAAGAUCAGUUUUUCUCUUAAGCAACACACAAAUAGCAGUAUGCAAAUAAUCGAAACUCUGUAAUUUCUACGAGCUGGGUUGCGCAAAUACGAAUUAGAAGCAUACCCAAAUUUGGGGUUAUUAAGGAAGAAGAACUACUGUAGCUAGGAGAUGUGAGUUGAGCGAGAACACAUCAAACAUGAGGUAUGAAUUUAAUAAUUGUAUUUUUAGUUCUUCCUCUUAUUUUUUUAAAAAUUGAAGUUAGUCAAUGGGUUUGCUUAAACCGGAGUGAAAUCUAUGAGAUAUAUAUAGAUAUGUGUUUAUCAAAUGAAUUGUAUGUUAUGAAGAAAAUAAAUUAAUUAGAUUAUCAACUACUUGACAUGCAUGUGAUUGUGUAAUUGAUUGCUGUGAAUAUAAUUUAGGCACAAGUAGAUAAGUGGUUGUGGAGUAACAAGGGAGCUAAACUGGAGAUUUAAUGAAAAUAAAUAGUUAUGACACUUGUGUUGAAAAACAGUGCCUGUAAAGUGUUUGAUAAAAUUCCUCAAUGAACUGUUUUGCUUAACAAUUGCUUAUUCGUUAGAAUUAAAGCUUGGGUUAUAUAUAUAUAUUGAGGGUAAGUAAAGGGUUGUGCCUUGUUAAAUGGAAUGAAAACUAAUUUUUUUUUUAGCUAAAACUAAAUGCUAGAAUUUAGCUUGGCAAGCACCUUUACUCACCGUUUUGGAGCAGCCACCAAGUUGAUUGCAUAUUAUGUGUAGAGAUUAUAGAUUGCAUGUUAUUUUAAGGUGGGGUGUAUUAUGUAAAUAUUUUUGAUAAAAGGUUGUGACUAAUUUACCAAAUGGUUGCCAAAAAUGGCAUUAUAUAAGAGCAGGGCUGCUGCCCACGGUGGCAGCCAUGUCUGUUUAUGGCUUCAGAUGGGGGCUUCCUUGGACUUUCAUUUAGUGUAGAUAAUUUCUAAGACAACCCAGCUGUUAUUGCUCUGUAAUAAGUGUAAAUACCAGUUGUGUAAUGUCCAAAACAUAGUGUAAAAGGAGUCAUUCAUGUAGGGGUGAAAGCUGGGCAAAGCACUUGGGGGGGCUGCUGCCUAACGGCAGCAGUAGGUGGCUGUUUUGGGCAACACAAAAGUGGUCUUUCUUGCUCUUAUGGAUGUUAAUCAGUAGUAACCCGUAUCAGUUGGCUAUUACUCUCUUAAAGGUCCAAUCUGAUAUUCUAAAUGUAGCAACACAUGGACCAAAAAGGGAUGGAAAUUAUGAUCUCUUAAAAUAAGGAAUUUGGGAUGAUGGGACUGCUGCUUAAUGACAGCAGCGAGCAGCUGCUAUUGCUGCACUAGUAAGCCAUUUUUGUUGUGUUGUAAUUCAAGAGUUUACUCAUAACUCUUAACUUCUGGAAAAAAAAAAAUAUAUAUAUAUAUAUAGAAUAUAUAAUAAAACCAUAACUUAAUUAGUUGGGUGAUGAGGAAAAGAAAGGAUUUGUAUAAAAAGGGCCACAUAUAGCUGAUAUCAGUAGCAUUAACAAAUGGAAUGAGCAUUAACAGCUAUUGUUUUGCAGCCAUAUUAAUGACUGUUUCGUAAAAGAAUACAAGCAGUAAAUUAGCAAACUCAAUAAAAAGAAUUAUCAUGAGUACUUGGGCAGUAUUGAAAGUACUAAACUGAGUUCAGUUUUAUUAAACCUCAAAAAGGUUGGAUUAGUAUUUCUAGAUAAAACAAGGUUUUGUAACAAGAUAGCAUAUCAGAAUGAAUCUAUAAAUCAUGAAAAAUACCACGGAAUAACCAUACAAGUGGAAAUUAUCUUUAAUGUAUAAAAUAUACUAUCAAGUUACCUUGUGAAACAUGAAAUACCUUCGGUUUUCACCUUGAAUACCUAAGUUAUAAAGAAGAUUACAAAGUAUACUUAUGGGAAAGGAAAGAAGUAAAAGAAAUAGGAACAGAAGUUAUGUCAGACCCUAUAACAGAAAGAAAAGGCUAUUGUAAGAACAUGAGUGAGAUAUUUGAAAAAUGUAAAUAAAUAUCUCAAGUAUGAGAAUAUCAACUAACAACAUGAUCACUGUGAUUAUGUGAUACGUGAACAUACAAGCUAUAUGACUUAGCUAUUUGGCUAAUAUGCCUGUGUAUACAAAUAAUUGUGUAGGAUCUGUGAGGAUACACAAGUUAAGCUGAAAUUAUACAAAUAGUCUACAAACAAGGCAAGUAUCUAAAUCUUACUCUUUAUUGAGCAAGUAUUUUGAGAUUAUUCAUAUGUUGACAGGUUCUCUAAUUUUUGAACUGUCUUUCAUUAUUUAUGAAUAUUGUAAGAUUGAAUAAUCUUUUUAUUCCAAUCAGCUUCAAAAGAUUGGGUAAGCUAUUAUCUUAUGCAUGAGCAGGUUGCAAAGAAGUCUGAGCCAUUCCUUCUGGCCAGGCACAGCUGUGAAAUAUUUCAAUUUCUUUAUAUUAAGUCUUGAAAUAUUAUUGUGCCAUGAUUUAAGCUGUCCAACUAAAUUGUUGUAGUUGGAAUCUAAAACUGAGGAUGAACAUACCCUUAAAUGGGAUAUUUUUAUUGCACUCUGAGAGUGGUGAUGUAGAACAUGAAAAUUGUUCUUGAAAAGAUAGUAUUGAUCAAUACAGGGCAUAAAGGGCUGAUCACCCUACGUGCUCGUAAGUUAAGACGGUUCAUUUGAUAAUAUUUCUGAUUGAACCUUUUUAAGAAAAGAAAAAUAUGUUCAUGGUCUUAAAACCUCUCAGUUAUUCAAUGAUGUUAUGAUAUUUCAGAAAUAUGAAUGAUUCAAGAUUUAUUGCUUUACAGAUUUGAUUCACUGUCACAGCAUGCUUCAAAGAAAACAUUUAUUUCUUGUUGAGCCUUAAAGAAUGCUAUUACUUGCUGAGCAAUUAAAUGCUCAUACUUGUUUUAUUAUAAAUGUUUUCAGCUCAGCAGACUCGGGCAGAAGGGUCUGGAAAAGACAAGGGAAAAGGAAAAAUAGUAGAAUAGCUGAAGAUUGUUGUAAUAGAUAGUUUUCAUGUUUGUAAAUAUUAAACUAUCAUGUAAUAAACGUGUAAAGGUCUACGUACCUGGGAUUAGAAGAACUUUGAUGUAAUAACUUUACUAAGUUUAUGCUUAUUAUGUUCUGAACAUUUUAUUUCCCGAAUUUGGGGGCGUCACAACUGUAGUUCAAGAGUGCCGUCUACUUCAUUAAGAAAUUCAAUGCAAGAGAUGGCUCCUUUCAAUGGUUAAAUUAUAAGAGGUUGGCAGCCUGUUGAUGUGGUUAGGGUGCUAAUGGCGCAUUGAAGUAUUUAGGAAGGUUAAGAAAAGGAGCAUAUUUUAUAUAUACUCGAUUGAGAAAAACUCCUGACAUCAGGUCAACGCAUUUAUACUCCCCUCCAUCCCAUUCUGGCCUAAUAUCAACAUAUCUUUAAGGACUUUCACAGGUUUAAUAUCGAUGGUGAUAGAAAUUGAUAGAGAUGAAUUGUUCCUGUAGUGAUUGUUCUUUGAAGCAUUUCAAAGGAUAAGAUUUUCUGGACCUUAUGGUUGGUGGUGGAAGUGGUUUAGAUACCAGAUUUCAAGAAAUAGAAC
rnacentral:lncRNA from 1 species